AACAGGGAUUGCCCUAGUAACGGCGAGUGAAGCGGCAACAGCUCAAAUUUGAAAUCUGGCCCUCGGGUCCGAGUUGUAAUUUGUAGAGGAUGCUUUUGGCGCGGUGCCUUCCGAGUUCCCUGGAACGGGACGCCUUAGAGGGUGAGAGCCCCGUACGGUUGGACACCAAGCCUCUGUAAAGCUCCUUCGACGAGUCGAGUAGUUUGGGAAUGCUGCUCUAAAUGGGAGGUAAAUUUCUUCUAAAGCUAAAUAUUGGCCAGAGACCGAUAGCGCACAAGUAGAGUGAUCGAAAGAUGAAAAGCACUUUGAAAAGAGGGUUAAAUAGCACGUGAAAUUGUUGAAAGGGAAGCGUUUGCGACCAGACCUUUUCCUAGCGGAUCAACCGGUGUUCUCACCGGUGCACUUCGCUAGGUUUAGGCCAGCAUCGGUUUCUGUAGGGGGAUAAAAGCUCUGGGAACGUAGCUCCUCCGGGAGUGUUAUAGCCCUCUGCAUAAUACCCUUACGGGGACCGAGGACCGCGCUUCGGCAAGGAUGCUGGCGUAAUGGUCGUCAACGACCCGUCUUGAAACACGGACCAAGGAGUCGAACAUUUGUGCGAGUGUUUGGGUGUUAAACCCUCACGCGUAAUGAAAGUGAACGGAGGUGAGAGCCCUUACGGGUGCAUCAUCGACCGAUCCUGAUGUCUUCGGAUGGAUUUGAGUAAGAGCAUAACUGUUCGGACCCGAAAGAUGGUGAACUAUGCGUGGAUAGGGUGAAGCCAGAGGAAACUCUGGUGGAGGCUCGCAGCGGUUCUGACGUGCAAAUCGAUCGUCAAAUCUGCGCAUGGGGGCGAAAGACU
rnacentral:rRNA from 1 species